GACGAACGCUGGCGGCGUGCUUAACACAUGCAAGUCGAACGGAAAGGCCUGCUUUCCCUUGUGGAUUGCGGGUACUCGAGUGGCGAACGGGUGAGUAACACGUGAGUGAUCUGCCCCCAACUUGGGUAUAAGCCUGGGAAACUGGGUCUAAUUCCCGAUAGGACUGCAGGGUGGUGCCUGUGGUGGAAAACGAUUUUCUAGUGGUUGGGGAUGAGCUCGCGGCCUAUCAGCUUGUUGGUGGGGUAAUGGCCUACCAAGGCGGCGACGGGUAGCCGGCCUGAGAGGGUGGACGGCCACAUUGGGACUGAGAUACGGCCCAGACUCCUACGGGAGGCAGCAGUGGGGAAUAUUGCCAAAUGGGCGGAAGCCUGAUGCAGCGACGCCGCGUGGGGGAUGACGGCCUUCGGGUUGUAAACUCCUUUCGACCGCGAGGAAGCCACCUGGUUGGAAGGGUGGUGACGUUAGUGGUAGAAGAAGCACCGGCUAACUACGUG
rnacentral:rRNA from 1 species